rnacentral:misc_RNA from 1 species
UAGCAGGAGGAACAAACACG